GUCUUAUUUAAUAAAAGGGGUUGCAGUCUGCCAUGAAGCUUUCAUCCACGUAUACGGCAUCAAUAGAACACCCCUGACUCUCCUCCACCAGUCAUACAAGGAGAAUUAUCUAAUGCCUCCCCUCAAAAAGAGAGCUGGCCCAAGCUUGCACAGGUUACAGCUGAAGCAUGAGGACUUGCUGCAAGUGGUGAACUUCAUCAACAACUACGCAGAGGAUAAUGCAAUAGUAUUACCAGGACAAAAACCCAGGACACAAACACUUUGGUGGAAAGCUGCUGCCAUCCCAUGUGACAAAAGCAGCAGUGUGCGUCUCUACAAGGAAUCAAUGGCAACACUUGAGGUACGUGUAGUCGGGCUGUCUUCCUUCAGGAAUCAGUGGAGAAAAUUGCUGCGCCACAUCUCAAGCACUAAGCCGAGGACAGACUUGUGCUGGAAGUGCCAGAGGAAC
rnacentral:lncRNA from 1 species